rnacentral:misc_RNA from 1 species
UUAUUUUCCUUCACAAACAAAAGAAAAAGAAUUUAUGAGCUUUUACCUCUUUACUCUGAAUCUUUCUUCAAUGGCUGUGUAAUUGCUCUGCCUCUGCAAUUUCCAACUCAAGCCUGUAUCAUUAAAAACUCCUCCUACUUAACAAAAUAAAAAUGAAAACUCAAAAGCCCCAAAAACCCUCUCUCUAUCUCCUUCUUUCUUUUCCCUUUUCUUCCUAUAUUUUUGGCCUGUAUCAAACAGUAAUCAUUAUGAAGACUCAAACGAGCAAAACCUUCGUGCAACCUGCAAAAGCCCUUUCAUUGUUU